GGGCGGGGAGUGUCGCGCCCGCUCCGGGCGGCGGCCGGGCGGUCUGGGCCGUGCGGCGGUGGCCGAGGAGGCGGCGGGGCGGUCAGGGCAGGCGUGAGAGCCCUCGGAACAGCCCGGCAGGAAGAGGCUUGCAAGGCUGGAUUCAGUCAUCUAGUUUGUGGGUCACAGUGUUCUCAGAAGGGGUAUCGUGCCCAAAGUGCCAGCUGUUUAACAGUAAUGCCCCCUGGAUCGUGCCUGGAACUGGUGAGCCAAAGGAUGUUGGGGCUGGAACAGAGGAGGCAGGAGAAGAGGAAAGCAGGGUGACUUUGCCUGGUGGAGCCGGCUGCAGAAGCGGAGGCCUUUCCUCCCAAGGACCCCGGCUUUGGCUUCACCACGCACACAGCAUGGUGGAGUGUGAGGAGGGAGCAUUUGAUGAUGUGUCUCAUAAUAUCUGAUAAAAGAAGUCGCUGUUUCAUGAAGGAAACCACCCUCGUUUAACCGUGUUGCUGUGGGAUUUUUCUACAUCUGUUUUCGAGACCCUGGGAAGGAAAUCACCCGGAAGCAGUUCAUGCAGUAUUACCUGGUGAGGGGUCUGGUGAGGGCACUUACAGUCUGUCCACCCAGGAAGGAGCUGGUACCUAUGGCGGCGUGCCCACCCCUGUGGUCUGCAAGCUCCGAUCCUGAGCAUCCCAGCCUUGGGGUAUAGACAAGACCGGUUUUUACUUUUCCCAGUAGCUCCCUCACUGAACGCUGAAUGUCAUGCCCACAUUCUUGCUGGGCGGAGGUCCCUGUAACAUCGUGGCCUAACUUCAUCAUUGACUAGCUUUUGCUCCUAAGACCUCAUUCUGUUUUUCUGUGAACUCCGAUCUUCUGUCUGAUUGGAAGCUUUUCUCCUAGUGUAGUCCUACCCUGACCCUGAGCAGGGUGGACCAGCACUGUCCACCCCGGGCUUUGUGCUGUGCUCGCAGGGUCCUCCCUGGCUUGUCCUUCUGAGUGCUGAAGUCAGGUGGAGUGCUCCUCCAGCUUAAGUGUAAACACAGAUAGGAGCGGAGGACUUGCUCCCCCUCUGCCCAUCGCCCUAAAUAACACACAGUUAAGAUCCGGACUUCCAUCUGUGUGAUGAUGUUUGUAGAAAAACCAUUGUUUCCCACCAGGGUCUGUAGCUGAGGCCUUUGUUGUCUGCCCGCACGUCUGUCCUCAGAGAGGCCCUUGCUCCCUGCUGGGUGGGGGAAUGGCAGCUGCCUCUCCUCUCUCCCAAGGAUCUGCCUCCUGCUGGGGAGGAGGGGUGAGACAGGGGUCCUCCUGUGUCUGCAUUCUGGACAGAUUCCAGAGUUCCCUCAAGGUCUGGCACCGCUGACAGUGACGUGUUUGUUCCGAGGCACAGCCUAGAGCACUGAACGGGGACGUGUUCCCUCCCUGGCUCACCUCACUCAGCGCUGCGCUCAGCCCCCGUGGUGCACAGGGGACGGGCAGCCUCUCCCCAGGCUCAGACCAAAAACCUGAUCUUCGUCACUCAGAGGAACUUUCAGGUUGGCUGGAAAAGUCCAGCAUGUGAGUGCUGCACCGUCUCCCAGCUCCUCCGCAGCUGUUGUGAGAUCACCGGAUGACAUCUUAGGGUGUCACAGAAGAGGACGUUUCCUUCCAAUUUUUAAAAUGAGGAGAAAGUAUAUUUGCAAAAAAUGGGAAGUAAAUAAGAAUAUAAAGAAGGAAGUCCCUGGCCUGCUCUGAGCAAGGUUACACAGGUGGGCACUGGUCUACACCCUGCCCCUUGGGCUUCACCACGUUGAGCUGUGUACCCAGGUGAUAGUGUAAUUGUGUCGGAGAAAGCAAGACUGGCCAGCCGGGCGGUGAUCCAAAAAGUAAGAGAUUGAAACAUGAUGGGGGCUGUAAGGAUGUCCCAAGCUCUUGCCUCUUUAAUGUGAGAGUCGGUGGAGUCUCUGGGGUCUCUGUUGCAGAAAAGCUGGGGUGUUCGGCUGCUCUGAGGCGUUUCUUUAACGAGCAUUAGGCUGCACUAUGGAAGCAUUGAGCUUUGUGGGGUGGUCAUAAGAUGCCACGGUUGGGAACACGUCCUCAUCACACAACCCUGAGUCUUUAUUUACUUUCCAGAAGGAGCAUUGUUGUAGUGAUCUGAGAUGCUGUCGAGAGCAGAUGGAUGGCAGAAGGAACCAGGGCACACCCCUGAAUUGUGUCUUUGAAGAGCUUCCCAGAGGAGCAUGUCUGCGUGCAGAUGGUUGGGUCCAGAGGCACCAAUAGCUUGUGGGCCUUGGGGAUUACGUUUUCAUUCUCCCUGGCACUGUUUUCUUGUGGUACCUGCAGCUGGGUGGACAGAAUGUUCCCGAAUCAGCUCUGUAUCUUAGGACUGCCCUGUAGUCAGUGUAAGACUGUUGUUUGUGUGCCUUCUGGAUUUCCAAGGCAGUGUGGAAUCUUAGUGCCUGGAUGUACCAAAUUUUAACUCCUGUUGCUGAAUUGGUUUCUGUUUAUUAAAAUGGAAAUAGGUUCAUA